UAUAGUGAACGUGUAAUCUGCUUCGGGUCCUUGCUUGCGUUUUGGGCUAAUACGGGAAUGCAACGCUGGAAGCACAGAUUUUCUCCAUGGUUGUGUCCAAGAGAACGAGUAUUGAUGAAAGCUGGUUAAGUUUGACGCACUUUUCAGCUGCUAUUAUCUACCUUAGGUUAUGCCAAUUUCCUGUUAGCACGGGCUUACGUUAAAACUGAUGCAGUGGGACGGACACGUGAUUCCUAGUGUCUAGUGGCAGUUCCACUAUGUCCAGAGUAGUUUGGCUGAACCAUUAGUACGUAGAUGGCUGAAAAAGCUGGCAUUUAAGAGCACAACAGGCGAACUGUUGUACAAACUGUGCCGAAACGAAGCGAGAAACUUGACUGGCGAAUGGUCACAACUCAAAGCUGACAGUUCUGUUGGUAAUGGUGUUGAUUUGAAUGUUACUUGUCAAUUGCAGAAUAAGUGAACAUAAAAAUUUAGUUGUGCAUUUUAUUCUGAAGUGGUCUCAAUAUA